GAAACUUCUUUAAGAAAUCUUGA
rnacentral:snRNA from 1 species